rnacentral:rRNA from 1 species
GUGGGGAAUCUUGCGCAAUGGGCGAAAGCCUGACGCAGCCAUGCCGCGUGAAUGAUGAAGGUCUUAGGAUUGUAAAAUUCUUUCACCGGGGACGAUAAUGACGGUACCCGGAGAAGAAGCCCCGGCUAACUUCGUGCCAGCAGCCGCGGUAAUACGAAGGGGGCUAGCGUUGCUCGGAAUUACUGGGCGUAAAGGGCGCGUAGGCGGACAGUUUAGUCAGAGGUGAAAGCCCAGGGCUCAACCUUGGAAUUGCCUUUGAUACUGGCUGUCUUGAGUUUGGGAGAGGUGAGUGGAACUCCGAGUGUAGAGGUGAAAUUCGUAGAUAUUCGGAAGAACACCAGUGGCGAAGGCGACUCACUGGCCCGUUACUGACGCUGAGGCGCGAAAGCGUGGGGAGCAAACAGGAUUAGAAACCCCGGUAGUCC